AUCGUUCAGUCAUUUUAGACCUCAAAAAGAACAUUCCAUCAAGGGAUCAGGUUCUAUCAUCUCACUGGAAUGCAAUUUAAGACAUCAUCUCCAGAAAACUGUGCUAGUUGGCAUCCAGCAGUGCCCAAGUAUUAUUUAACCCACUAGAACCUGUGACUGCAUCAGCUUUAUAUCCUGGACCUCAGCCUGGAACAAAGGAGAGCUACACUUGGAUACUAAACACAAGUGGUCUGGAUAGAUUAUGCUGGGAAAAGAAGCCUGGAGCAGGCAGUACAGUGGGAGAACAAGACAGAAGUGCUUGCCUUGGUGAUCCAAAAAAGGCAGGAUCCGGCCGGGGGCAAGGUGAUUAUUCUGUCUGAUGAGGAGAAUAAGAGCCAGUUUGUGGUAUUGACAGAAGAAUGAAAGUAAAGUCUUGAAAGAUGGGAAGAUCAGGAGCAGUCUGGAGUCAUGGUAUAUGAAUGAACUAGUGAGAGUGGGCACAAAGUCUGAAGAUCUUUGUAGUGCAGCUAAUGUCUAAGGGAGAAUAUACCUACCCUAGAAGAGACAUUAAACAACCAGGUUGUCUCUUCAUUCUGUUGAUUGUUUCCUUUGUUGUAAAAGAAACUCACUUUACAGGAAAAGAGGUGCAACAGUGGCUGGAUGAUUAUAAGAUCGACUGUUCCUAUUAAAAACUACACCAUCCAAAAGAGGCUGCCAUUGAAGAGCAAUAAAGUAGUUCAUAGAAGGCAUAGGAAGCUUACUGCAGGAAAGAAAUCCCUCAGAGUCCUGAAGAUACAGCUUUCAGAACUUAGGUGAAGCAAGAGGACUCAAGGUGUGCAAGAAUGGACAGUACAGAAUGCUCUGCUACACUGCUCAGAUUCCCCCUUCAGGAAGGAAGGACAAAUUCACUCAACUUCUGGGAGCAUUGAUGGUUGAGCUCUCAGCCAUCAGACCUUUUUGGAAGUUGCCCUCUUCUGAAAAGAGGCACAUUGCCCAAGAUCUUUCCUCCUCCAGAGCGCAGGCUGCACCUGAAGUCUGAUUGAUGUGGGGUAUGAUGGUCUGGUCUCCUUUCCCCAUCUAAAGGACUGUUCUAACCUCAGGGCUCUCCUUGAGUUUCCUUAGUUAGUUCUUAUUACUAUGUUGCAGUCCAACUUCUUCUUUGGCCUAAUUCUACUUUCCUCCCAUUCCCCAAUUGUUGAUCCUGACAGCAAUUUCCCCCCAAAUUUCUGUAAACUAAGCAUGAUCUCA
ensembl:lncRNA LINC01013 long intergenic non-protein coding RNA 1013